GACUAACGCUGGCGGCAGGCUUAACACAUGCAAGUCGAACGCCCCGCAAGGGGAGUGGCAGACGGGUGAGUAACGCGUGGGAACGUACCUUUCAGUUCGGAAUAACUCAGGGAAACUUGUGCUAAUACCGGAUACGCCCGCAAGGGGAAAGAUUUAUCGCUGAAAGAUCGGCCCGCGUUGGAUUAGCUAGUUGGUGGGGUAAAGGCCUACCAAGGCGACGAUCCAUAGCUGGUCUGAGAGGAUGAUCAGCCACACUGGGACUGAGACACGGCCCAGACUCCUACGGGAGGCAGCAGUGGGGAAUUUUGGACAAUGGGGGCAACCCUGAUCCAGCCAUGCCGCGUGAGUGAAGAAGGCCUUCGGGUUGUAAAGCUCUUUCGGCCGGGAAAAAUACGCAUCAGUUAAUACCUGGUGUGGAUGAUGGUACCGGAAUAAGAAGCACCGGCUAACUACGUG
rnacentral:rRNA from 1 species